CCCUUCUGGAACUUUCUUUCUUCCUCUUUCAUAAACCUUUCAAGUUUAUUUUUUCCCCUUAGGAUUACUCUAGCAAAAUGCACACAAACUGGCCCCUUACAAAAUUAGUGCUCACUUUAUUUCUCCAAUUAGCUCAAAGGAAUGUGCAAGUCAAGAUAGGGGGAAAUAAUAUAAAUUUAUGCAUAUGGUUUGUCUAAUUUUC
rnacentral:lncRNA from 1 species